GUUGACCUCGGAUCAGGUAGGAAUAC
rnacentral:ncRNA from 5 species